rnacentral:misc_RNA from 1 species
AACGCACAUUGCGCCCAUUAGUAUUCUAGUGGGCAUGCCUGUUCGAGCGUCAUUUCAACCCUUAAGCCCCUGUUGCUUAGCGUUGGGAGCCUACUGUUCUGUAGCUCCUCAAAACCAGUGGCGGAGUCGGUUUUGUGCUCUAGACGUAGUAGAAUCUUCUCGUCUGCAGCCGGGCCGGUCCCCUGCCGUAAAACAACCAAUUUUUCAAGGUUGACCUCGAAUCAGGUAGGAAUACCCGCUGAACUUAA